rnacentral:rRNA from 1 species
UUAGCUGUAAACGAUGUGAACUUGGCGUCGGCGGGUUCAAAGCCGUCGGUGCCGAAGCUAACGCGAUAAGUUCACCGCCUGGGGACUACGGCCGCAAGGUUAAAACUCAAAGGAAUUGACGGGUCCCCGCACAAGCAGCGGAGCGUGUGGUUUAAUUCGAUGUUACACGAAGAACCUUACCCAGAAUUGACAUGUAGGUGGUAGGGAAGUGAAAGCAGACCGACCCUUCGGGGAGCCUACACAGGUGUUGCAUGGCUGUCGUCAGCUCGUGUCGUGAGAUGUUCGGUUAAGUCCGCCAACGAGCGCAACCCUCGCCGUAUGUUACAAGUGUCAUACGGGACCGCCGGUAACAAGCCG